rnacentral:rRNA from 1 species
AGCAGCCGCGGUAAUUCCAGCUCCGAUAGCGUAUAUUAAAGUUGUUGCAGUUAAAAAGCUCGUAGUUGAAUUUCGAGACCGGUUUAUUGGUCGUGCUUUUGUACGUACUGGUAUUAUUGGUUUCUCCUUUCUGACGAAUCUUAAUGCCAUUAAUUUGGUGUUUUGGGGAAUCAGGACUGUUACUUUGAAAAAUUAGAGUGUUUAAAGCAGGCUCACGCUUGAAUACAUUAGCAUGGAAUAACGGAAUAGGACGUUUGAUUCUAUUUUGUUGGUUUCUAGGAUCGACGUAAUGAUUAAUAGGGAUAGUUGGGGGCAUUAGUAUUCAAUUGUCAGAGGUGAAAUUCUUGGAUUUAUUGAAGACUAACUACUGCGAAAGCAUUUGCCAAGGAUGUUUUCAUUAAUCAAGAACGAAAGUUAGGGGAUCGAAGACGAUCAGAUACCGUCGUAGUCUUAGCCAUAAACUAUGCCGACUAGGGAUCGGAUGAUGUUAAUUUUUAAUGACUCAUUCGGCGCCUUACGG